AAGACGGAGCGGCGAACGGGUGAGUAACACGUGGGCAACCUGCCCCUAGCUCUGGGACAACUCCUCGAAAGAGGGGCUAAUACCGGAUAUGACCUUGGACGACAUCUUCUGAGGUGGAAAGUUUUUCGGCUAGGGAUGGGCCCGCGGCCUAUCAGCUUGUUGGUGGGGUAACGGCCCACCAAGGCGACGACGGGUAGCCGGCCUGAGAGGGCGACCGGCCACACUGGGACUGAGACACGGCCCAG
rnacentral:rRNA from 1 species